ensembl:lncRNA
CUGGAUGCUGCUGGUCAUCUUGUGUCCCUCCUCUGCUCUUCUCCUCUCCCUCCUCUCAUCCUUGGUCGUCUACCUACGCUGCAGAAGGAACGAUAACGAACUCCAUGUUGCUCAGGGACCACCCAGCAGUAGAGCUAUAACGUCAAUCAGGAACCAGGAUGAGGAUGGCCUGUGUUACGCUACACUGGAUAUCCCUCUACGUUCUCAGAAACCUAAAAAGAAAAGAGUCCAACCCUCAGAGUUCAGCACCUACUCAGCCAUCAAUACUAAGAGGAUGUGACCAUGACCAAGUCUUUUAAUACAAAUACAAGGGCUCUACUUCCUAAAGAUGAUUUCAUCUUUGUGCUGUCAAGAGGAGGAAAACUAUAUUGUUUUCCGCUUCAGUCUCAUAAAAUGCAUGUGAUAUAGUAAAGCUUGUUCAGAAGUAUGUUAUAAUUACCAUAGCCGGUUUGCAUAUUGUUUGUCAAUAGUAUAAAUCCAAUAAUAAGUUUUUGGCUAUGUUUAUUCACUACAUUAUUCAAUAUUGUUUGUUGUUCAUUGUUUACUAUGUAGUAAGAUGGAGUGAAGGGAAAGGUGUAAAGGCCUCUGUUUUUACCAGGUUAUGAUCUGGAGCUAGCUAGCUAUUCUGUGUAGGUUGUCAUUUUUGCUUGGCAGUCUCUACUCUUACAAGUAGGAUUCUGGCAGCCCCUUAAAUAUCCCAAGAACAUGUCACUAUAACAAAAAUACCUGUAACAUUUUACAAUAAGGCUCCAUUGAUUAACCAUUAAUUAAAAUUAGUUAUUGCAGUAAUUAUUGUAGAUUAGUGUUAUCUAAAAGGUUUGGUUGGAGGAGAGUUGAGAUGUAAUGACAAUAGGGAAAUUCCUUGCAACAACA